GCUCAAUUAGUACAGCACAAGGCUCUUAACCUUGUGGACGUGGAUUCAAGUCCCAU
rfam:Triticum aestivum genome assembly, contig: Triticum_aestivum_CS42_TGACv1_scaffold_404990_5BL